UACGGAGGGUGCGAGCGUUGUCCGGAAUCACUGGGCGGAAAGGGCGCGUAGGCGGCUCGGUAAGCGUGCGGUGAAAGCCUGGGGCUCAACCCCGGGUCGGCCGUGCGAACUGUCGAGCUCGAGCACUGUAGAGGCAGGCGGAAUUCCGGGUGUAGCGGUGGAAUGCGUAGAGAUCCGGAAGAACACCGGUGGCGAAGGCGGCCUGCUGGGCAGUAGCUGACGCUGAGGCGCGACAGCGUGGGGAGCAAACAGG
rnacentral:rRNA from 1 species